rnacentral:rRNA from 1 species
UACGUAGGGCGCAAGCGUUGUCCGGAAUUAUUGGGCGUAAAGAGCUCGUAGGCGGCCAGUUGCGUCUGCUGUGAAAUCCCGGGGCUCAACCCCGGGCGUGCAGUGGAUACGGGCUGGCUAGAGGCAGGCAGGGGAGAACGGAAUUCCCGGUGUAGCGGUGAAAUGCGCAGAUAUCGGGAGGAACACCGGUGGCGAAGGCGGUUCUCUGGGCCUGUACUGACGCUGAGGAGCGAAAGCGUGGGGAGCGAACAGGAUUAGACUACCCCGA